CGACCGGCGCACGGGUGAGUAACGCGUAUGCAACUUACCUAUCAGAGGGGGAUAACCCGGCGAAAGUCGGACUAAUACCGCAUGAAGCAGGGGCCCCGCAUGGGGAUAUUUGCUAAAGAUUCAUCGCUGAUAGAUAGGCAUGCGUUCCAUUAGGCAGUUGGCGGGGUAACGGCCCACCAAACCGACGAUGGAUAGGGGUUCUGAGAGGAAGGUCCCCCACAUUGGUACUGAGACACGGACCAAACUCCUACGGGAGGCAGCAUG
rnacentral:rRNA from 1 species